UGGGGAAUAUUGCACAAUGGGCGCAAGCCUGAUGCAGCCAUGCCGCGUGUGUGAAGAAGGCCUUCGGGUUGUAAAGCACUUUCAGCGAGGAGGAAGGUGGUGAACUUAAUACGUUCAUCAAUUGACGUUACUCGCAGAAGAAGCACCGGCUAACUCCGUGCCAGCAGCCGCGGUAAUACGGAGGGUGCAAGCGUUAAUCGGAAUUACUGGGCGUAAAGCGCACGCAGGCGGUUUGUUAAGUCAGAUGUGAAAUCCCCGGGCUCAACCUGGGAACUGCAUUUGAAACUGGCAAGCUAGAGUCUCGUAGAGGGGGGUAGAAUUCCAGGUGUAGCGGUGAAAUGCGUAGAGAUCUGGAGGAAUACCGGUGGCGAAGGCGGCCCCCCUGGACGAAGACUGACGCUCAGGUGCGAAAGCGUGGGGCAGCAAACAGGAUUAGAUACCCCUGGUAGUCCACGCUGUAAACGAUGUCGAUUUUGGAGGUUGUGCCCUUGAGGCGUGGCUUCCGGAGCUAACG
rnacentral:rRNA from 1 species